AGAGUUUGAUCCUGGCUCAGGACGAACGCUGGCGGCGUGCUUAACACAUGCAAGUCGAACGAUGAAGUGGAGCUUGCUCCACGGAUUAGUGGCGAACGGGUGAGGAACACGUGAGAAACCUGCCUCGGAUUUUGGGAUAACAAAUGGAAACGUUUGCUAAUACCAAAUAACGUCGGAGAGCUUCAUGGCUUUCUGACGAAAGGAAUUCCGAUUCGAGAGGGUCUCGCGGCCUAUCAGCUUGUUGGCGGGGUAAUGGCCCACCAAGGCAACGACGGGUAGCUGGUCUGAGAGGAUGGUCAGCCACACUGGGACUGAGACACGGCCCAGACUCCUACGGGAGGCAGCAGUGGGGAAUCUUGCGCAAUGGGCGAAAGCCUGACGCAGCAACGCCGCGUGCGGGAAGAAGGCUUUCGGGCUGUAAACCGCUUUCAGCAGGAACGAAAAUGACGGUACCUGCAGAAGAAGGAGCGGCCAACUAUGUGCCAGCAGCCGCGGUGAUACAUAGGCUCCAAGCGUUGUCCGGAUUUAUUGGGCGUAAAGAGUUCGUAGGCGGUCGAGUAAGUCGGGUGUGAAAAUUCUGGGCUCAACCCAGAGACGCCACCCGAUACUGCUUAACUUGAGUUCGAUAGGGGAGUGGGGAAUUCCUAGUGUAGCGGUGAAAUGCGCAGAUAUUAGGAGGAACACCGG
rnacentral:rRNA from 1 species